rnacentral:rRNA from 1 species
AAUCCAUAGGUUAAUGAGGCGAACCGGGGGAACUGAAACAUCUAAGUACCCCGAGGAAAAGAAAUCAACCGAGAUUCCCCCAGUAGCGGCGAGCGAACGGGGAGGAGCCCAGAGCCUGAAUCAGCAUGUGUGUUAGUGGAAGCGUCUGGAAAGGCGCGCGAUACAGGGUGACAGCCCCGUACACAAAAGCGCAUGUGCUGUGAGCUCGAUGAGUAGGGCGGGACACGUGGUAUCCUGUCUGAAUAUGGGGGGACCAUCCUCCAAGGCUAAAUACUCCUGACUGACCGAUAGUGAACCAGUACCGUGAGGGAAAGGCGAAAAGAACCCCGGCGAGGGGAGUGAAAAAGAACCUGAAACCGUGUACGUACAAGCAGUGGGAGCACCCUUUGGGGUGUGACUGCGUACCUUUUGUAUAAUGGGUCAGCGACUUAUAUUCUGUAGCAAGGUUAACCGUAUAGGGGAGCCGGAGGGAAACCGAGUCUUAACCGGGCGUUAAGUUGCAGGGUAUAGACCCGAAACCCGGUGAUCUAGCC